rnacentral:rRNA from 1 species
CCUACGGGAGGCAGCAGUAGGGAAUUUUCCACAAUGGGCGAAAGCCUGAUGGAGCAACGCCGCGUGCAGGAUGAAUGCCUUAGGGUUGUAAACUGCUUUUAUAUGUGACGCGGUAGCAUAUGAAUAAGGAUCGGCUAACUCCGUGCCAGCAGCCGCGGUCAUACGGAGGAUCCAAGCGUUAUCCGGAAUUACUGGGCGUAAAGAGUGCGUAGGCGGCAUAGUAAGCAGAUAGUGAAAGCGUGUGGCUCAACCAUACUCACAUUAUCUGAACUGCUAAGCUAGAGGAUGAGAGAGGUCACUGGAAUUCCUAGUGUAGGAGUGAAAUCCGUAGAUAUUAGGAGGAACACCAAUGGCGUAGGCAGGUGACUGGCUCAUCUGACGCUCAGGCACGAAAGCGUGGGUAGCAAACGGGAUUAGAUACCCUUGUAGUC